rnacentral:rRNA from 1 species
UACGGAGGGUGCAAGCGUUGUCCGGAAUCACUGGGCGUAAAGGGCGCGUAGGCGGCCUGGUAAGCAGGGGGUGAAAUCCUGCGGCUUAACCGCAGGGCUGCCUUCUAAACUGUCAGGCUUGAGCACGGUAGAGGCAGAUGGAAUUCCCGGUGUAGCGGUGGAAUGCGUAGAGAUCGGGAAGAACAUCAGUGGCGAAGGCGGUCUGCUGGGCCGUUGCUGACGCUGAGGCGCGACAGCGUGGGGAGCAAACAGG